AGCUUCCUGUUCAAACAGAUGAUGAUCGGUGCGUUCAUGGACAAUAUGUGAGAAGUGCUGCCUUGACCUUUUUUAGAUGUGUGCACCUCAGCCUGUCUGAAU